rnacentral:rRNA from 1 species
AUUGAACGCUGGCGGCAUGCUUUACACAUGCAAGUCGAACGGUAACAGGCCUUCGGGUGCUGACGAGUGGCGAACGGGUGAGUAAUGCAUCGGAACGUACCCAGAGGUGGGGGAUAACGCAGCGAAAGCUGUGCUAAUACCGCAUGUGAUCUGAGGAUGAAAGCGGGGGACCGAGCAGCAAUGUUUGGCCUCGCGCCUUUGGAGCGGCCGAUGUCGGAUUAGCUAGUUGGUGGGGUAAAGGCCUACCAAGGCGACGAUCCGUAGCUGGUCUGAGAGGACGAACAGCCAAACUGGGAAUGAGGCACGGCCCAGGCUCCUACGGGAGGCAGCAGUGGGGAAUUUUGGACAAUGGGCGCAAGCCUGGUCCAGCAAUGGCGCGUGCGGGAAGAAGGCCUUCGGGUUGUAAACCGCUUUUGGCAGGAACGAAACGGUGUCCGCUAAUACCGGGCGCUAAUGACGGUACCUGCAGAAUAAGCACCGGCUAACUACGUG